rnacentral:lncRNA from 1 species
GAAGGGACAUAACUAUGGAUCUGUGAAGAGAUAUUGGAGGGGAGUUGUUCAGUGCUUUAUAGGUGUGAAUUAGUACCUUGAUUUGACUCCUAUAGCAUACAGGAAGCCAAUGUAAGGCCUGACAGAGGGGUGAGGUGUGAGAGAACCGACUAGAGAGUAAAAUCAGUCUGGCGGCAGCGUUCAUUAUGGACUGUAGCGGUGCAGUACGGC